CUACGGAGGAUGCAAGCGUUAUCCGGAUUUAUUGGGUUUAAAGGGUGCGUAGGCGGACAGUCAAGCAGGGGGUGAAAUGCCGGCGCUCAACGCCGGAGCUGCCUUCUGAACUGGCUGUCUGGAGUGGCAGUGCCGUUGGAGGAAUGAGUGGUGUAGCGGGGAAAUGCUUAGAUAUCACUCAGAACACCGAUUGCGAAGGCAUCUCACGAAGGGUUGAUUGACGCUGAGGCACGAAAGCGUGGGGAUCAAACAGGAUUAGAUACCCUGGUAGUCCACGCCGUAAACGAUGGGCGCUCGUCGUCGGCGGCAGACAGUCGGCGGCCAAGCGAAAGCGAUGAGCGCCCCACCUGGGGAGUACGGUCGCAAGGCUGAAACUCAAAUGAAUUGGCGGGG
rnacentral:rRNA from 1 species